UUCCACCACCAGAGUUUCUAGAUUGCAGAGGUUUGAAAAUGACGGAGGGAGAGCUUUUGCCUUCGUCUGAAUGAUUAAGUACUUCAAAUGAACGAGCAUACCGAUUUCAUUCAGCAAAGAAUCUGUCAAUGUUAUACCGAUUUCCUUUCUAGAUUUUAUAUAACAAAAGUCAUGCACAAGAUCAUGAAUUUUGCAAAUAGAAUUA